CCUACGGGGGGCAGCAGUGGGGAAUAUUGCACAAUGGGGGAAACCCUGAUGCAGCGACGCCGCGUGAGUGAAGAAGUAUUUCGGUAUGUAAAGCUCUAUCAGCAGGGAAGAAAAUGACGGUACCUGACUAAGAAGCCCCGGCUAACGACGUGCCAGCAGCCGCGGUAAUACGUAGGGGGCAAGCGUUAUACGGAUUUACUGGGUGUAAAGGGAGCGUAGACGGCCAGACAAGUCAGAAGUGAAAGCCCAGGGCUCAACCCUGGGACUGCUUUUGAAACUGCCGGGCUGGAGUGGAGGAGAGGUAAGCGGAAUUCCUAGUGUAGCGGUGAAAUGCGUAGAUAUUAGGAGGAACACCGGUGGCGAAGGCGGCCUGCUGGACUGCGACUGACGUUGAGGCCCGAAAGCGUGGGGAGCAAACAGGAUUAGAUACCCGGGUAGUC
rnacentral:rRNA from 1 species